UACGUAGGGCGCAAGCGUUGUCCGGAAUUACUGGGCGUAAAGAGCUCGUAGGUGGUUUGUCGCGUUGUUCGUGAAAACCGGGGGCUUAACCCCUCGGCGUGCGGGCGAUACGGGGCAGACUGGAGUACUGCAGGGGAGGACUGGAAUUCCUGGUGUAGCGGUGGAAUGCGCAGAUAUCAGGAGGAACACCGGUGGCGAAGGCGGGUCUCUGGGCAGUGAACUGACGCUGGAGGAGCGAAAGCGUGGGGGAGCGAACAGG
rnacentral:rRNA from 1 species